CGAACGGUAACAGGGAGAGCUUGCUUCUCGCUGACAGCGGCGGACGGGUGAGUAAUGUGUGGGGAUCUGCCCGAUAGAGGGGGAUAACUACUGGAAACGGUAGCUAAUACCGCAUAAUCUCUCACGAGCAAAGAGGGGGAACUUCGGGCCUCUCGCUAUCGGAUGAGCCCAUAUGGGAUUAUCUAGUUGGUGAGGUAAUGGCUCACCUAGGCGACAAUCCCUAGCUGGUCUGAGAGGAUGAUCAGCCACACUGGGACUGAGACACGGCCCAGACUCCUACGGGAGGCAGCAGUGGGGAAUAUUGCACAAUGGGCGCAAGCCUGAUGCACCCAUGCCGCGUGUAUGAAGAAAGCCUUAGGGUUGUAAAGUACUUUCUGUUGGGAGGAAGGCGUUGAUGCUAAUAUCCUCAGCGAUUGACGUUACCCACAGAAAAAGCACCGGCUAACUCCGUGCCACCAGCCGCGGUAAUACGGAGGGUGCGAGCGUUAAUCGCAAUUACUGGGCGUAAAGCGCACGCACGCGGUUUAUUAAGUUAGAUGUGAAAUCCCCGGGCUUAACCUGGGAAUGGC
rnacentral:rRNA from 1 species